rnacentral:lncRNA from 1 species
UAACAAUAAACGGGUACAAUACUUUUUCCCUUCUAUAAAAUACAUUUACUCUACUUGAUCCAUUCCCCGAGCAACACUAGCUACGGUUUAAAUGAGCUUUUUUCCCCUUUAAGACUCUAGCUACGGUUUAAAUGCAAGAAACAUGAAUUCACUAAUGAGCGCAAGCUUCCUCCUUGAACUGCUUUCCUGACUAGAAGAAGAGGCCUAUAAAGAUGGCAGGACAUUUAGAUCUUUAGAUCUUCGAAGCUAGCUUCACCACGAUAGGACUUUCCCCUUGGAUGCAUGUCCGCCUAACUUCACCCCAGUUGAAGACCCCACCUUUUCCUCAUUCUCUCCUGGGGCAUGGGGCUUUUUCCGAUUUGAUAUUGGGAUUUCCUUUGGAUUAAACUGGCAAUUCAGCCGGGGAAGAAGGGCAUUCGCCGGCUGUUUUCGAGAAGGAAUAAGCGGUCGUCAGGCCUUCCCUGUCAUGUGCCUCCUAAAGAAAAAAGGGUUUCUAUAUCUCCACUCAUGAUACAUGUUAAUUUAUCAAAAACUCUCUCUUCUACAUUCAGGGUAAGAAUUCCAUCUGAGCUUAUGCAAGAAAGUCUAUAAUCAUAAUAAUAAUUACUUGGCUGGUCGAGACUGAACUGCUCUGUGGAUUUAGCUUACAAUGUUUCAGACAUAAGAAUGAAAAUGUUUCAGACAUACCAACAUUUGAUGAGACACAUCGUUCUGGAAAAAAAAUGGAUUAAUUGGAUUGGUCUUCUUCUUCUUCCUCCUCCUUUUGAAUUACCUCGUACAGUUUGGUAAAUCUUUUGAAAAUGUAACUGGCAUCCGGGAAUAGAAUUGUCUUCUCAAGCUGGGACCUGUGAGACUGAUUUCAUGACAGAAAUUCAGAGUUGAUGUCUAUUAGGUUGUACAAAUAAAAAUCUUGAGGCCUCAAACAAAAUCAAUCCUCAUUAGUAAUUUCUGAGAACACUUAUCCAGACGAAUAUUUGAUCAAUCAUGAAAAGACUGGCAUGUCGUGGAAUUCCUCAACUAGUCCGAACAAGGAAAGAUAGAACCUCUGACUUCUUCGUUUUCACAUGUCAUUGUAGUGCGAAACCCAUCACUACGAAGAUAAUGCCAGCCGGAUAAUAUUGGCUGUUAUUGGGACUUUUUCAACAAAAACAGAGUUACAGAUGAAGUUGCCAUCGGGUCCCAUCCAUGGUGAUGCAAGAAGAACUACAUAGCAUAUGGGCCAUGUUGCCCCCAAUAAAAUAUCUAAUUCCAUUUUAAGACUUCAAUUAUCUUUUAUAAAGGAUUCUUGGUUAUUUUCUUAUGUUAUUUUUGACGGUUUUACAACUUUUGACAAACACUUAAAACAUAUAUAUAUAUAUAUAUAUAUAUAUAAAGAAUUCUUAGUUAAAAGACCAGCUUAGGUGAUCACCCUUUGUCACAGGGUUCGAUUAUUUUUUUAUGUAAAAAAUAACAUUCAUGUUUUGAAAUGAAAUUAAAAAAACAUAAAAUACAAUCAUUAUAUAAAUGUAAUCAUGCUAAUUAUGAUCGAAUUAAUCUAGGAUAUUCCAUGAAAAUCACAACCUAAAUAAAAUGAUUGAAAUGACCCAAUAAAAAAACUAUAAAGAAUUAUAAAGCUUCUUUUUCUAUAUAUAUAUAAAAAACUUGAGUCAUUAGACCUGAAAUAUCCAAUCUGGAAAAAUUAUAAAGUUUAAAUUUUAAUCAAUCAUAUAUUAAAUGAUGAAAUUAAAAAGAAAAUCUUAACUAUACAAUUUUUUAAAAAAUAGCAAUUAAAAAAAUGUGUAUUAAAAUUAAAAUACAAAAUAAAUUUUAUAUUUAAUUGAAGGGUAAAAUUAAAAGAAAAUUAAUAAAAGGAUAGUGUUUUUUCUUAAAAAAGAAUGAAGGCUCAAAAUUAAUAUAAAAAAUAAAAAUAAUAUUGUAAUUAAAUGGUGAAAUUAAAAAGAAUAAUAGUUUUUACAAAAGAGCCAAGAAAAAAAAUUAAAAAUUAAAACAAUGAGGACCAAAUUGAAAAACAUAAUACCAUCAAUUUAAAUUGAAUGAUAAAAUUGAAAAUCAAUAAAACUUUUACAAAAGAGUUAAGGAAAAAAAUUAAAAAUUCAAAGAAUGAACAUCAGAUUGAAGAAUAUGAUAUAUGGUAAAUUAGGAUUCAAUAAUAAAAUUGAAAAUAAAUAAAAUUUCUAUAAAAGGACAAAGAUAAAAAAUGAGAAAUUAAAAGAAUAGAGAUUGAAGUUGAAAUAUCAACAACUAAAAGGGUCAAGCUAUAAUUUUCAAGAGAGGCAAAAGAGAAGGAAAAAAAAGCCUACUUGUAACAAACCAAACUAUAACCGAAGACACACACCACACCAACCAAAAAAGGACAUGGUGGUGCUCUCAAGGACAUGAAAAAAAAUGUAUUUUUGGAUUCCUAGAAGCACCCCACGCGUCGUCUGAAAAGUGCAAGGACCACCCACACACCCCGGGUGUGCCACAUGCACAUGUUUUUUUUUUUAGCUAAAUACAAAACUGUCCCUAAGUUGACUUUCUAAUCACAAAAAAACCAUUGUGAAAAACCAAAAAUGUCCAUUGACCUCAUAUUUAAGAUUUUUUUUAUUUUAAGGGUAUUUUUUUUUAUUUUACUGUGUAUUUUAAUUGUUUCUUAUUUUAUAUCUAGUCAAAUAUCAAAUUACCUCUUAACUUAAAUUGUAAUAACGAAAAAGUCAUAGUGAAAAUACAAAAAUAUCCAUUGAUGCUAGGUUAAAGUUUUUGCUUUCAAGGUAUCUGAUUGUUUUAUUAUGCAAUUAAAAUGAGAAAAUAUGUAUUUGUUCUCGGUUAAUUUAAAAAUAACAAAUGAACCAUGUAAAAAGACUUCAAUACCUUUGAAAGCAAGUGUAAAUGUUUUUGGAUAGAUUAAUAAAAAUAUCAUUAUAUUGUUCCAGGGAACAAUAUGAAUGAAUAUAUAGCUACAAUAAUUUUCCAAUACCAAUAGGAUAAAAAAAAUUUAUUCUAGUUUAUCCUUUUAAUAUUUGCCUCCGUAUAUUAAAAAGAAAGACUUUAAAAUAAAAGGAUUUAUAAAAACUGUAAUAUAACCUGAUGAUGAUACACUUUAGUGGAGCCUUGAAUAAGAUAUAUAUAUAUAUAUAUAUAUAUAUAUAUAUAUAUAGACACACACCUUCGAACACUUGGAUUCAUUCCUGGUGAUGAUGAACUGCAGUAAUUUUUUAUGAUUUCAUUUUAAUUUUAUUUAUAUAUUGUAUUGUAUUUUACUUUAUUUUUUGUUUUCUUAGAAUUUAAUUUAACAUUUAUACAAAGACAAUAUAUAUCUUAAGAGAAGACAUAUCAUAUUUCAUGCUCCCACUUGGAACAUUAGGCAUUUUUAUUACAAGAUUUUAUCAAUAACGAACAACUCAAUAGAUGAAAAAAUUAAAAUCCAAACACGCAAUUAUGAUAAUUAAAAGACUUUAGUACUUAAUUAAAAAUAAGUCUUCAUAUAAUUUUUCAUAUAAGCAUACUUAAAAAAAAUUAUUUUAUUUUAUAUCAUGUUCUUUUUUUUUUUGGACAGAAUUUUUAUAUCCUGUUGUUAUUGCAAAGUUUCAUAUUUUGUUUUUUCAAAAAAUAGAAGAGAAAUAGAGCUUUAUUCUUUUUUAAAAUAGACACAAAAUAAUUUUUUUCAAUUAAAAAUAUAUAAAACUAACUUGUCAUUCAUAUUUAAAAAUAAAUUUAGUUUGAUUAUAUGAUGAAGAAAAUUUAAUCAGAUGUAAAAAAAUAAAAUAAAAAGAUAAAUCAUAAUCUAAAAUAUAUUUUUUAAUUGCUUAUAUUUAGUAAUAUAUACCUAUAACUUAAACUCUUGAAUAGAACAUUGGAUCUUGUAUACUGAUAAAUAAAUAAAAAUAUUUUCUCCUAACAAAAUUAUUAUUAUAAUAUCCAUGAUUAUUUUUUCUUACAAGGAACUCCUUUGUUCAAAUAAAAUUUAUGGUUAAUCAAUCCAUCUACCUUUAUAAAUUAGGCGUGUUCUCUCAUAUGUUAUUUUAAAACUUUUUUACUCUCAUGUGCCCUUUAUAUUUAUAUUCUCUCUCACACAUCUUUUUUUAAAAAAACUUUUGAGACAAAAAUAUCCCUCAAACUACUAAAAUAAGAUUUUAUUUUUAAUACAUAAAAUAUUAGAACAAUUAAUUGUGAAAAAAAAAAUGAAAAACCAAGAAAGUAUAAAAUUUCAGGAAAAUCAGAAAAAAAGGCAUGAAAAUUGGAACAUCCCAAAAAACCCUAUAUAAAAAAAAAGGAAACUAAUGAAAACUUUUAAAAAAUCAUGUUUUACAAAAAUUAUUGUAGGCAUAUACAUAUAGGCUUUAUUUUUUAAUACACAAAUUUAUUCAGGGUUCCAACGACUUUUAAUACCGUGGACUUAUAAAACAAACACACUUGAUAGUGUUAUAAUUGUGAAUCAGGGCUAGAUAAGUAAUAGAAACUAAGAUAUGAUGGAGCAAAUAUUUCAUGACGGAAAAAAAAAUUGUGUUUUGUGAGGAAAGAUACAGUGCUUUCACCACAUGAUUUAACUUUUCUGUUAAUAAAAAGUAAAAAAAAUUACAAAGCUAAAUUCUCUACCAACUUAAUAUUAAAAAAAAAACCAACAAAGAUAAUUUUGGAAGGAAAAAAAAUCCAUGAGGAAAAACAUAAUUUAAAAAAAAAUCAACAAAUAUAAUUUUGAAAAAUAAAAAAAUAAAAUAGAAAAACUAUGUGGAAAAGCACCGCAGCAAUUCACAGUAUUUUAAAGGAAAAAAAAUUACAAAACAAAAUUUUUAAUCAGCUCAAUAUUUAAAAAGUAAAAUCAACAAAAAUAAUUUUGAAAAAAAAUAAAUGAAAAAAAAAACAGAGGAAAGUUGAAAAAAAAAAGGAAUGCACUGUGUAUUAUUGUUGUAAUCCACAGUGAUUUUGGUGUGGGGAACAGUGAUUCCCCCACACCAUUUAGAUAUAUGUAUAAUUAAUAGAGUUUUUACAAAUUCAUUGAUUUUGAAUAGUUCAAUUUUAUUACAUGCGGGGAUCACAUAAGCGGCACAAGUAAAACAUUUAUGCUACAUUUUGAUUGGGGAAGUCUUUUGUAAUUUUAAUAGAGAUUGUCAAAAAAGUAUAAACCAUUUUGUCUAAAGGAGUCAAUGAUAAUAUAAGACUAUUGAAAUAUUAUAUUUCUACGGGUGAGAAGUUGGUAGUUGGUCUUAUUAAUAGUGCUGUUACUAAUUGUCAGCUGUAUCUUGGGGCUAUGUAUGGUCACCAAGAACAAAUUCGUGAGUGCGGUAAGGCUUAAAGUGAACAAUAUCUGGCAGGUUGGGCCGGACUAUUAUAUUUGGUAUCAGAACCGGCCUCACUAGUUGUCUGGCUGUGCCGAUUGGGUUGUCGUGCUUUUUAAAGGGAUGAAUUAUAAUAUUCCACAUCGACGAGUGAAGAGUUGAUAGCUAGUCUUAUUAGUAGUGUUGGUUGCUAACUUGUCAGACAUGUUUUGGAAUCAUGUGUGGUCAUCAAUAACAAAUCUAUGAGGAUGGUAAAACUUAAAACGAAUAAUAUCUAACAAGUUGGGCUGGACUGUUACAACUAUAAUGAAGAAUCCCUUAUAAAAAUAUUUUUUUUGUCAAACAAUAGAGUUUCUGCAGAAUAAUUAUAUAUAUAUAUACACAACCUAAACAUGAGAUCAUAAAAUAAGAACAAAUUGCAUCGAGGCUUGUGGCCCAGCGGCAGAGGCAAGGUUUCCUUGCCUCUGUCACCUGAGUUCGAGCCUCAGCGUACACGCCUGUCACCCCCGCGGUGUCUUACCUGCCUACUGGGCUUGCAAGGUGUUCAGUGGGUCAGGGGAUUAGUUGUGGUGCGCAUAAGCUGGCCCGGACACUCCGGAUUAAAAAAAUAAUAAUAAUAAGAACAAAUUGUUUCUAUAUCAUGCCUAACUUGUCAAUUAUAUAAUAAAACAACAUCCUGAAACAGCCAUAUUAGCCAGCAGAUUGAAUAAAUAAAAAAUUGUAUAAUCUUGUCAUCAAGGUACUCUUUAUGAAAUGACCAUUAACUUUAAUAUAUUUAAUGCAAUUAUGUUGAAUAAGAUUUUGUACAAUUUAAUUUGAUGGCUGUCUUAUUAUCAUGGUGGAGAUUUAUAAGUUUAUAUAAAAAAUAUUUUUAAAAGCAACGGGACAAUAUCAAAAUUAUUUUACAAAGUAUUUUUUUAUUUUAAAAUAUAUUAAAAUAAUAUUUUUUAUUUAAUUUUUAAAUUUCAUUUCUUACAUCAAUAUUUCAAACGAUAAAAAAACACAAAAUGGUUUUAUGCAUGCCGCAAACGAAAGGGAGUUGCUUUGAUAGUACGGCACCAUCUCCAUCCGGUCACCGUCCUAGUGGAAGACCGUGAAAAGACCUAAAGGGCUGUUUCUGCCAACGCACGGGAUUUCUAUAAGACUCUUCUCCUCUCCCUCUGCUUUGUUUUUUGGCCUGGAUAACAACUUGCUUUGAUCUCGACAUUUCUACUUCUGCCAUCUGGCAAUAACAACCAAAUCAAGGUAAGCUAGCUAAAUUAAUCUGCUCCUCUUUGUGUUUGCAAAUAAACUUUUGCAUGAAAACAGUAGAAAGCAAAUAUGGGUUUGCCUCCUUAGUUCUUUUGCUGAAUGGAGAAAUAAAGAAAAGUUAACUUACCAAGUCAAAAGCUUUUAUUAUGAAGAACUGCUUAAACAACAAAGCUUGAAUCUUUAUCUUCUUUUUUUAAUGUCGUGACUUUUAUGCAUUCAAAGGAACAAGAAAGGUUCUUGUUAUAUAUCAACGCUUAAAUUGUGCAAAAUCCUUGUAUAAGUUUAAUUAAUGACUUCUGAGCUUUUUUGUUGUAAUCCCAUUAUGGAGCCAUCUGCUUCAGCUCAAUGAAAAUCGCUAUUUCUUUUUCUUGAUGUAAUUUUUUUUGUGUGGAAGUGGGUUUUAUUUGGUGAUGAAGAAUCUCUUAGAAUUUGUUGCCUACAUUAAUGAGAAGUUUUAUCGCGAGUUAUUGAGAUAUUGUGUUCAUUUGGAUGCUUAUUUGGUUUCUGGGUUCAAUUCUCGGUUUGCUAACUACUUUAUAUGGUCCAAUUCAAUUCUGGGUUCAAUGCGAUUAUUGUUGCCAUCAUCAUUAGACUGACAAAUGCCUUUAUACCUUUUCCCUUUCGAAGUGUCUGGUUAAGCAAGAAUAGGCUUAUGGGAAAGGAAUUUUAUAAUGACAUGAUUUAUGGCUUAUUUUUGCAGGGCUGGGACUCGAUUUUGGUGGAGGCAUUCAUUCGUCUAAACAAUCUGGUGAUGACUUGUUUUUUUUCAUUUUGCAAAGGGAAGGGAGUUUCAAGAGCUACUAGACAAACUCUAGAAGCUGAUGAUGGUAUGCAACUCAAGGGUUAAAAAAUUAUUAGCUGACACUCUAUUAUUUAGUUUGAGAAUUUUCUGAAUCAAUUUCUCUUAGAUCUACUUAUCGAGUAAAAGUUUCUGAUAUGAAAUAGCAGCUGUCACAUAAGCUGCCCACAGCAUGAUUCUCUGACUUGCUUUCCCUUCGUUUUUUUCCCUAUCCUUUUCUUCUAUGGAAAAAUAGGCACAUUCCCUCUCACACGCAUACACUUCAUGCUCAUUGUAAAACUUUUUCUCCCAUUUGUUUUACGUGUGUGCAAAAGCUUAUAAUGGAUUUAUAUGGUACAGAGGUUUCGGGGUCACAGAACAUUUGCUGUUACACUCAUAGGGAAUUGCAAAUGGCAACUGAAAACUUUAAUUCAGCCAAUAAAGUUGGAGAGGGAGGUUUCGGUUCUGUCUACAAGGUGAUUUUACAUGCUUAUGUCUUUAUGAAAAAUCUUGAAGGGAUUUUGAGGGUUUUAAUUUGUUACUAUUAAACUUAUCCUUGAUCUGAAUUCCAGUAAUUUAAUGGACAGGGAAUACUUAAAGAUGGCACUGUGGCUGCCAUAAAGGUACUGUCAGCUGAAUCAAGGCAAGGUUUACGGGAGUUCUUAACAGAAAUAAAAGUGAUAGCAGAUAUAGAGCACAAUAACCUGGUUAAAUUGUAUGGUUAUUGUGCAGAUGGAAACCAUAGAAUUUUGGUCUAUGGCUACCUUGAGAAUAACAGCCUUGCACAAACACUUCUCGGUAAGCACACCAUUCAUCCAUGGUUUUUGUUUUCAAACAGCUCAGGUUAUAUUUUUCGUUUAUCCUUAAGGUGGAGGCCAUAGCAGUAUCAAAUUCAGUUGGUCUACAAGGCGCAAAAUAUGCGUUGGAGUUGCACGAGGGCUUGCAUUCCUUCAUGAGGAAGUCCAGCCACAUAUUGUUCAUAGGGAUAUUAAAGCAAGUAACAUUCUCCUUGAUAGUGAACUCGAGCCCAAAAUAUCAGACUUUGGUCUUGCAAAACUUUUCCCAUCCCACCUGACUCAUAUAAGCACACGAGUUGCUGGAACUACGUAAGUUCAUAAACCUGUUAUAUUUGCUUCUCACAGGUAUUGUUGUUCAAUGCAUUGUAAAAUGAAAUGCAACUCCUGUUGCUUUUUAUGAUCUCUAGCAGUUUGUUUUACUAGCGUCUAGCCUAAUUGCUGCAUAGUGUUCUGGAUAGGUUGAUUUGAUUGAAUGAUGUUCCUAUCUAGUACCUUAAACAUGUCAUACUGUUGCAUCGUAUCUCAUAAUAUUUCCCUUGUUAUAUCUCUGUGGGGUGGGUGGGAUCAUUUAACAUUGGUUCAUACCUUCUUUCAAAAUCUGGGUUCACAGACUGUUACCAUACUUGAUUUUUUAUGAUUUCUAAUUUGUUGGAAUAAUCUCUAUGCAGGAAUUAAAUUGUGACUUAAAAGCUACUGUAUUGUGACUUAAAAGCUACUGUAGAGCCAGCCAAAAUAUGUAUUAUGCUUAUUAGAAAGUGAAAAUACAAGUCUUCGAUGAUAUGCCAUAAUGUUUGAUAGGCAUAGAUAAACUGUGAUUUUCUUUUUGCGUAUUUAACCAAAUUGCCAUGUUGAAACAUUAAACAAUUUUCUGUUCUUGUUGCACAUGUGCAGAGGAUAUCUGGCUCCAGAAUAUGCAAUUCGAGGUCAGCUGACAAGGAAAGCUGAUAUUUACAGUUUCGGUGUUCUAUUGUUGGAAAUUGUUAGUGGGAGGUCCAACACAAAUAGGCGGUUACCCACAGAAGAGCAAUGCCUGCUUAAAAGGGUAUGGGGCCUUCUGAAACUCACUGCAAAUUUGUCUUAAUGCUAUUAAAGAAAAUUCAGAUUUUGUUUUUAAUAGAGUAUGAAAGAUGAUUCUCUUUAACUAAAAGCAGGGAUUCUUUCCUUGAAUUUUGUUCCAAUUUGAGUUCGAAAAACAUGAAGACUCGUAAACCAGGUUCUUGAUUCCUGCAUCUAAAAUUUAUUUUUGUGAUGCUUUAUUUUCCUGAAGUGAUAUUUCUUUGUAGACUGCAUUUGCAUCUCUGAUAUUCUGGGUAUAAAAUUCAAAUCAACCAGGCCAUGUUUCCAAACUAGCUGGGAGUGGCUACAUUGAUUUCCAUUUUCUGUUGAGUUCAAGCACAGGGUAAUGUGGGCCUGUGCAAGUUUCAAACCCAAAGGGCUUUCACUUGAGGGGGUGUAUUAGAGAAUAAUAUAAAUUAUAUCCUGGGACCUCACCUAAUAGCUUAAGCUAUUGGGUUGAGAUGGUUCUUUGACAAAUUUCCUUGUAAGAUUGAAUCCCUAAGCUUAGAAGAUGACUGUAGCUUUCAGUUUUAAUAAGGUAGCCUAUUCUUUUUUCAAUGGGACAAGUGUUACUUGUGUUGAGCUUGGGAUGGCUGUUCUGAUGUCCUUUCUUCUGCAUUUUUCUUUAGAAUAACACUGCAACUGAUCUUUGCAGAAUAACUUUUAAGUAUCAGCCAUCAAAACACUCUAGAAUAAUUGUUCAUUUUUGUUCCAUGUUGGGUGGAUCCAUUACCCAUUUCAAAGUAGAAACAUCACUCCCAUCUUCAAUCUACAAUUCUGCUUCUUGACCUUUGAGCUUUGUGGUAUUUUAGGGAGUCAGUAUACAAUCACUAGUUCUUAUGAAGCAUUGGUCUUUCACUUACUGUCAUGCUCUAGUUUCAUAAUCCUUUGUUCCCGAUUCCUUAUGAAGGUUCAGCGAUCCUUUCAGUUAAUCAACAGCUUAUGAGCUUAAACUGUACAAUAAUCUUGUUUCAUUUUCUCCAAUCAAGUCUUAACGGAUUUCAAAGUAGUUGUCCUCUGAAUUUGUUCACAUAGAGAUCUUGUCACGUAAAGAUGCAAUCUGCAGGUAUGGGUAUUUUAUGAGAAAGGGGAGCUGGUUAACUUGGUGGACACAUCGUUGGGAAGGGAUUAUGAUGCUGAAGAGGCUUGCAAGUACCUGAAGAUAGGUCUUCUUUGCACCCAGGAAGUGUCAAAGUUGCGUCCCUUGAUGUCUACUGUUGUCUCGAUGUUAAUGGGUGAGAUGGAUGUGAAAGACAAGAUAUCAAGGCCUGGCUUGCUGUCUGAAUUCAGGAGUCUCAAAGGUGACAAAAAGCAGAAAGACAGAGACCAGAAUGACAAGUGGGAAACGAAGAAAUCAUCUCCAAAUUCAAGCAAGCUCGAAGAUUCGUCUUCAUCAUCAGGAAUGGCCACUUCAUAUGCUUCCAUGACCUUCAACUCAAUAUAUGACCGGAGCAAUUAACAGCAGUGUCCAAGUUUUGUUUUAGGGAGCAAAUGUAAGUGCAUACUUUACUUUCAAAAGCAAAUUUUCUGACAAGUAUUAGACUAUUUUACGGUAGCUUCCCUGCGAGUGACAACCUCCUUGUAAAUUCUUUUAUAGAAAAAUACUCUUUUUUUUUUAUUCUGUUGAAUAUAACUUUUGUAAAUCUGAAAAAAAAAAUAAUUUUUUUCAAUCAAUGUAGUGGGGUCCUUCUAUCAUUCACUCUGCAGCGUAGAUGUGUUUGAUAUCGUGUAGUUUUAAAAAAAAUUAAGAAAUAAUAUUUUUAAUUAUAGUUUUUUUUUUAAAAAAAAUAUCUUAUAAAACUAGGUUAUUUUAGUUUAUAUAAAAUUAAGGUUUAAAAUGUAAUUAUGUAUAAUACCUAGUAGAAAACACAAAAGUUAUUUAACUAAUUAUUAAUUUUUUUUUUUAUGGUUGGAUAAAGAGUAGAAAUUAUAUUAAUACCAAUAAAGACUUUGAAAAAAGCUUGCAACAGUUACAAAUUAAAAUUGCCAUCCUAUUGAUAUUGGCCGGCCUCAACUCCAUACUGUUAUUUGAUAGCAUCUAUCUAUAUCCAUUAUUGGAGGACUUGAAUUUGUUGUGAUGAUAUGUAAAUAAAACCAAUACAACUAAAAGUGAUUAUUCUUUUAUUUAUUGUAUUGUGAAUUGAAAUAUUGUAAUGAUUAUUUUAUUAUUUUAAGAUAAAAUUGUUAAAUUAAUUAAAGGGAUAUUAUAGCCUUUUCAUAAUGUUUAUUGAUCAUUAUCAGAAUGAUGAGAGACAAAUUAAUUUUUAAUAUUUUUAAAGAAAAUAAAAUAAUUAAAUUACCUUUAAAAAAUUAAAUUAUAAUCUAGGGUUUUUUUUUGAAUUUUUACUUUUUAAAGCAGGGUAAAAUGACUAAAUUAUCCUUAUAAGCAAAUUUUUUUGAGUUGACAUCCAAUGAUAUUAUCAUAUUUUCAUCCUGGUAUUUUAGUUAUAAUCAAUAAUUUGAUAUAUUAAUAAUUAUAAAAUAUUAUUUAUAAAUCAAAAGUUGAUGGCGCAUGCAGUGUCUUCCAAUAUCUAAACACUGGCUUCCACGAUGACAAAUUGAAGUGGUACACCAAGCUUUUUUAGGUGGCCCCGCGUGUUGAUGGAAGACCAAUGGUGUGGCUCCGACAAACUUUUUUACUUCUCCUUCCUAUUUUCUCUCUCGUUGCCUUGGGUUUUGCAUUUGGCUUUUCAAAAAUUAAAUGUUUACUGUCUAUUUAUAUUUGUAUCAAUUUUUAUUCUUAUUCUUUUGAUUAUUUUGAUUUUAAUGCUUUUUGAAGUUGAUUUUGUUUUUAAUUUCAUCUCUUAAUAUUUGAUUUCAUUUAAUUUUUGUAUCCAAUUUCGUCCUCAUUCUUUUGAUUGCUAUUUUUUAAUUAUUUUAUUGAUUUAUUUUAUUUUUUAAUUUCAUUCCUCAUUAUUUACUUCAUUUCAUUUUUAUACUAAAUUUGGUCCUAUUUUUUUCAUUGCAAUUUUUUUUAGUUUUUUUUAUUCUUUUCUUUUCUUGAUUUUUUUUCAAUAUCAUCCAUCAGUAUUUGGAUGAUUGAGAAUUUUGCUUCGUGAUUUUCUCAUGUUUUCCUUUUAUGGGUAAUUUCAGUUUCAUUACUCGAGUCAGGAUUUUUGAAGAUUAGCCCGAUUUAAUUUCAGUUUUUUAGGUCUUUUUUUUUCAAUUUCAUUCUUCGACACUAGAUUACUAGGCUUUGAGUUUCAUGAUUUUCUUUGUUUUCAUUUCUAUGGAGUUACUUCAAUCUUAUGUCCUGAGUUGCAGGUUAGUCGAGUUAACUCGGGUCGACUCAAGUUUUUUUUUAAAUUUAUUUUUGUUUUAGUUUCUCCUUUCAUCAUUUAGUUUUCUUCAAAGUUGACAUCAAUUUUCUUAUUCAAUUGUUUUUGUACAAGAUUAUUUCGGUUUUAUGAUCGGGCUGUGAUUUUGGCAUGCUGAUUUGAACUGAUUUUUUUUAUUCUUUUUUAAAAUUAAUUUUUUUUCUAGUUUGUCCUUCAAUGUUUGAUUUGCUAGUAGUUGAGCUUAAAAUUAUUUUUAUGAGGUUAUCUUGUUCUCAUUUAAUUUUUAUUUUGUUACCAAAUAAUAUUAUUGAGACCUUCUAAAAAUAUUUAGAUGAUAAUUUUUCAUAAAAUUGACAAGUAUUUAGUUUUUUUUAUUAGUCAUCAUCAGGUUUUUUAUGUUGUUGUUAGUACUGGAACUUGACUGAGGCUUUAAUAUCACUUUAUUAGGGGAAAAAAGAGUAUGUACUAACAAAAGUAUGGUGGAAACAUAUUAUAUAAGAGGGAAAGUACAUAACUUAUUCAUAUCAUAUUACUCUUUUAAGAGAGAAAGUUCAAUUGAUUUAAAUUAAGAUUAUAAUUCUUUCAAUACAUGUACUUAUACUAUUAUAGAAUAUUAAAAGAUAAUGACAUCUUUAAUAAUUAUACAUGCAUCUAUAAUAAUUAAAUAACCUCUUUGAAUAUAAACUUCAAAAUUAAUUGCAAUAUUUUGAAAAUCUCAAAAUUAAGCCCAACACUCUUGAAGUUUGGAAUGUGUCAAUCUUAUCAUGGUUGGGCACCUUUCUCAUCUCUUGACAAAAAUAUUAAUUAUUUUUAUAUAUUUUUUUGCAAGUCAAAUUGGUGGCCACUAUUUUCUGGAUCUUCCAUUUUCAUCUUUAAAAGAUCUUUCUUGGAUCUUUAUCGUAGUCACUCUAUAGUGAAAAUACAUUUUUUAAUAAUUAAACUAUUUAUUUAAUAUUUUUUUAAGCAUUGGUUUAAUAGUUAAUAAUUAAAAAUAAAAAGUCCAUAUAUAUAUAAAAGAAACGUUUAAAAAUUCCAUAUAAUUUCUUAUAAACAUAGGUAAAAGUUAAAACAACAUUUUUAAUAUCAUACAAUUUUAAGAAUGUUGUACAUCUAAAAAAAACAUACAUAUAGAAAGAAAGUAUCAUUAUUUUUUACAACACACAUAAAUAGUCAUUUCAAUAAAAAAACAUAUCUUAUCAUUUUUAUUUAAAAGUAAAGUUAGUUGAUUAUAUGAUAUAAAUAAAAAUAAUUAAAUAUAAACAUAAUAAUAUGAUAAAUAUGAUAUGAAUUGUUUUUAUUUUUUUUAUUUUAAUUACUUAUAAUUGAAAACUAUUAUAAAACUUCAAAGAAAAUAAAACUUGAUAAAACACUAGACCUUGUAUUUUAAUAUAUAUAUAUAUAUAUAUAUCUUCUUCUACCAAAUUUUAUAUUAAAAUUACAACAUUUGUUAAUUCCCUUUAUUCAAAGAGUCAUUUUUUCAAAUAAAAUUCACAUUUAAUAUAAGUGCAUAAGGUUUAUGAUUUGAUUAAAAGUUUUAUAUAAGGCUUCAUUAACUUUUAACCAAAAUAUUCGCAUUCAAUUUUUUUAAAUUAUUUUAUUUUAAUGAAUUUAAUUUUUAUUGUAUGUGAGGAAAAUAUUAGAAAUAUAGGCAUGGAUAAAAAUCUUUUAUUAACUUUUUAUUAUUCGAGUCCUUUUUCAAUACUAGUAGAGCUUGUCAAAAAACAUAAAAUCUAAAGAAUCCAAAGAUAAUGUAAGACAAUAACCAAGGGUCCCUUAUAAUAAAAUAGCUAAGGUAUAAUUUAAUAAUUUACUGAAUUUUUACAUAAUUUUAUUAUUUUUUGAUUUACUAAAAUCUUAUAUAAUUUUACUAUUUUUUAAUUAUACAUAUGUGAAUAGAAAUUAAGAAUAGAGGCAUGAAUAGAAAAGUGAUGAAAUAUUUUAUGUAAAGGAUUCUUUUUAAAAUUAGGAACGAUUAUAAAAAUAAAAUAUGAUAAUAUUUGUCAUAACCUAAUUUUUUACUCUUAAUAUUUUUCAAAAAUAAAAAAGCAAAAAAAUAAAAAAUACAUAUGUUUUUUAUGCAUUUCAACCAUUCACACAUCCAUUUUGAAACUUUUAACUAUUUUUCUUGUUGAUAUCUUCUCGAGAAAAUAAAAAAAUAUUUUUGACGCAUUUGCACUCAUUUCAAAAUUUUCAAAGUUUUUUUUUUAAAUUAAAAUUCAAAAGUAUGCUUUUGAUGUAUUUUGGCCAUUAAUGUGUCUGUUUUGUAACUCUUGAUUAUUUUUUUUAUUGAACUAACGUUGAUGUUGUUUUUCUUAAAAAAAAAACAAAUAAAAUGAGAAAAUAAAAUAAAAGUCAAAAUAGAGGGUAAAAUGGACAAAGUGCUAAAGUGAAAAACAAGAAAAAUGAGGGACCAAAAUAAAAUUGAGUUAGUUAGGGACCAAGUAACUAAAAAAAAAGAUUAUAAAAUUUAUGGAUUAUAAAUAAAUGAAUGAAUUGUAGAGAAAAAGAGACCCACCACACAAAAGAACCUUAUCUCUUCCAUAAAAAAACCCCUAACCUCAUCUCUUUCACCAAAAACCUUAGCCACCAAGAGAUAAAGAGAAAAGGAGAAUAAGAAAGAAAAGAAAGGAGAGAACCUAGUCUCUCACACCAAAAACCAACCUACCAAAAAACCUAGCUUCAUAUCUUCCUCUUCCCCUUUGAUCACAAAACCUUAGCUAUUAUUGAAGAGAAAAAUAAAAAAUAAAAAUAAAGAUGGAGCAAGAGAGAUAGAUAGAGAGAGUGUGUUGAAAAUUUAGAGAAAAAAAAACAUAAAGAAAGCAUAAAAGAACAAAAGGAAAAGAGAAAUUAUCCCUUUCAUCUCUCUUCUUUACCAACUUUAGCCACUACACCUCUCACCUACCAUUAUAAGCUCCUCUAUGACAUCCCAAGUAACAUAACAACAUGUGAUGGCUAUAAAUAAAAAAAGAAACUAGAAGAGAAAAAAGAAAAAUGAAACAACAAUAAAGAAAAGAAAAAAAACAUACAAUCAGACUUUUAAACUGUUAAAUCUCCUCCCAUCAAUGGUGAUGGCUUACAUCACUACCACCAAGAGGAAGGUCAAGGAGUGGCGCAACCUACUAGGUAGGCCACGCACCUCCCAUCUCCACUAUAAAGCUAGACUUAGCAUUGAAAGCAAGGCUGUCCAUAAUAGACAACAUCAAGGACAAAAAAAAAAGAAAAACUUUGAACAACUAGAUCUCUUUCCACCACCGGCGAUGACUUACACCGCCACUGCCAUUAGAAAAAAAGGGGGGGGGCAUCCCAUGGACUAGGCUGCACUCCUCUCCUUAAGAUUUAGAUAAACGACCUGACACAAUCUGAGUUGCGCUGUCAAUUUUUUAACAUUGUUUUGUCACUUUCACAUAUUGUUUCAACCUCUUUUAAUCCCUCUUAUACACUCCAAAAGUUCUAUUUUUAACUUUAAAUAUUUUAUUAUUAAUUAUUUGAUUUAUUGGACAUUUGAAUUUUUUAUGUGUUUAAUUUUCUAACAUGAUAUGUUUUGUAUAUAAAUAUACAUCAUGAAUGUGUUUCAUUAUGUGUUUAAUUUUCUAAGAUGAUAUGUUUUGUAUAUAAAUAUACAUCAUGAAUGUGUUUCAAAGUGUUUUCAAGUCUUUUUGGUUUUUAUGCAUCUAGGCCUAAUCUUUUAAAAUUUGCAUCUUACUCAUGUUUGAUGUUCUUGGUCAUUCCUUUGUAUUAUUUAUACACAAUUAUUUUUUACAUAAAAAUAUAAUAUUCACACUUAUACAUACAUUUGCGUUGGGUUUUUAGAACAUGUUUAUAAAACUCACUAAGGGUUUGAUCCAUUAAAAGGCCCUUGUGGGUCGACAUUCCAAAACCUAUUUUAAAAACUUUUUCUUUUUAAAAACCACAUCAAAAAAUUAAUAUUUUGUCAUUCACUCAUAUUGUUUGAGAUAAAUAAACUCAUAACAAGUUAUUAUCUUAAAUAUUAAUAAAGAGUAACACCUCGAUCUCUCUUGUUUUAAAACAUAUCUUGCUUUUUAAAUUUUAAGCUUUUUAAAUCUAAUAUUGAUUGAUGACAUCUAAGUGUCAAUCAGGGGUAUUAAUUUUUCUCAGUAAGUCCAAAGUGUUCGUGUCACUAGAUCUUACCUCAAAGUAGAUUAAAUCAUAAUACUACUUGGAUAUUUAGGACUAGUGUAAAAAAAAAAUGUCAUUUAACAAAAAUUGCAAGUGAACCUAAAUUUUAGAGGAGAAAUGAAUCUAAACAAGUCAUUAUCCAUAAGCCGAUGUUGUAUAAACAAAAUGUUUAGUGACAACUCAUUAUAUUUUUUGGGCUGGGUUCAAUUAGCCCAAUAAAAGUCCACCUAAUUAUUCAUUGGCAUGCCUGAGUCACAUGUUAUGAUCAAGAGUAAAUGAUUGUAUUUAUGUCAAUUCACCAAAUAAUUAAGAGUGACAAAAAUGACUUCGUUUUUAGAAUGGAUAGGCUUGAACCAACUCGUCCAUCUAGGGUUUAACUCAUUGUAAUUGAUCCAGUCUCAACCAUGUAGAUAGAUAUUAGUAGAUUAGGCACAACAAAUCAUUAGGAUUAAAAGAUAAAUAGCAAUGCAGUUUAUCGUAGAUGGAAUGUUUUAAGAUGAUAAUAUCUUUUCUUUAACAUAACCAAUCAUUUAUCUUGGAACUCUAAAGACUAGUUAGGAUUGUCUAAUAAUCAUAAUAUUAGGUGACAACUCUAUUUUAAAAUAAUACAUUGCUCUCUCUUAUUUUAAAACAUAUCUUGCUUUUCAAAUUUUAAGUUUUUAAAUCUAAUAUUGAUCGAUGAAACUAUUAUACACAUACACACACAUAAGGGCGGAGACAGGAGGGCUGUGCAAGGAAAAUUUUUUUCUAGCCCCUCCCUUAAUAAUAUUUAUAUUUUUAUCUUAAAUAAUAAAACAAUUAACAUUUUGCCCUCCUUAAUUUGAUUUUCUGGUUCAACCCCUACACGCGCCCGCACACACAUGAGACUACUAUAUACAAAAAAAAAAAAAAAUUCCUUAUAUAGAGUAAAGUCUUUUAAAUUUACAUAUACAAUUUUUUAAAGGUAUAAUAAUAUGUUUAGUAUUUAUUAUUAAAAUUCUUUUAAUAUACAUGAUGCUUAUUAAAUUUUAAAGAUAAUUUUGUCGAAUUAAAUAUAUAAUAGCUUUAAAAAUAACAUUGGUUGUUGCUAUCUCAAAAUGUGCAACACACCCUCCCUCUUAUAAAGGGGACACUAGGAAAAUUUAGCUUCUUUGUCACAGAAAAAGUUGGGCAUGAGACAUUGCGUUCGAACCCCUUUUGGUUUAAAAUAAACAAGCUAUGCAGAUAAUUGGUUACGAUAUCAUUGAAUUGAUCCUGCCAUUAGAGCAUUCUUUCAGCUUGCUUGUGUUCCCUUUUGUCCCCUGUAAGCAAAAUCCAUGGAGACAUGUCGAUCAAGUUGAAAUUCUUACUCGGUAACAAAAAACUGAGCAAGCUUCUUUCAAUCAAAGCAUAAACAUGAAAAGAUUUUCUUACUAUAAUUAUUUUUAUUACAGGUAAAUAGAGAAGUAUAUAAAUUGUGUACACUGGCUUGAUCUAUUCAAGAACAAUGAGUAAGAAAAGCAAUAACAAAUGUUCGAUCUAUAAGUUCAUCUUCUUCUGUAACAUCUAAACCACAAAAUCACAAAGCAUAGCACUCUGUACCCAAUGAUAAAACCAAGCAUCACAGCUAAAUUGCUCCAUUUUUGUGAAUCUUUUAGACCUUGCUGUCUUAGGAACCCGCUUCCAUAAAGAUUGCAUCUCCCUUUAUCAUACACUAAGCACCUCUCGUUGCCUUGCUCUCCUCCAUAUUCAUUUAUUAAGAAACAUUCAAAUGGGUACUUGAACAAACUCAAAUAGUGCAUGAAAACCCAGUAACUAGGAAUCUUACUCUUUGUUAUGAAGUACCCAGAAAAUAGGAAGAAAGAUCCCAUUAAUCCUGAAAUAACUGAUGUCCCCAUUAUGAAGUUAGGCACUAGAGCACUGAAACAAGCAACGAAAGAAUUUGACAUCAAAAUCACCAUCCACACCACUAGAGAGAAGUAAAGAAAUCCGUAGAUUGACAUCCUCAAACCAACAAGCCAAUAAACUGGGGUGGAGUAGAGAAGAGCAACCAUUAAAAGGAAAGGAAGAAAGAUGAGGGUGUUAGAUAGGACAUAAGAAGAAACCCUGUAGGCUCCUCUUGAAGUCUCUCUCAUUAGUAUUCUUCUUUCUUGCAAGAAAAUAGGCAGCCCUUCAGUUGAGGAAGAUAGCAAGAAGGUGAGGCUGAAGGCAAAGAAUCCGAUUCGAGUCUGCAAAGCGACCUGUCCUGUUUUCUUUCCAACAUUCAAGAAUAUGGUUCCAAGUAUUAGUCCUGCCACCAGUGCUUGUAUUACUCUUGCGACAAAUAGUUGCUUGGUUCUGAAAAUGUUGCUGCAAAAUCUUUGUCCUAGUAUCGAAACCUCCUCCAAUAUAGAAUUGGGAUAGCAGAGAGGUUUUUCUUGAUGAUUGUUGAAGUAUAGAGUCCUCGCGAUGUGGCCUUCAUUGUGUCUGAUCUCAUGAGGGCAUUGAUUGUUGAGAGACACUGAAUUUUGCUUAGACAGGCUUUCUAUAACAUCAAUAGAAAACUCAAGCACAUUGACAUGGAGAGGAAUUUGAUGACCAGAAAACCUUAGUCUCUCUUCAAGGAAAUGCAGUGAGCCAUCAUGGACAGCAUAUCCGUUGGAAAGCAAAACAAGCCGAUCAAAGAGCUCAAGUAUUCGAAAACUGGGUUGGUGGAUAGUUAAAACAAUGGUCUUACCCUGAUUCAACACCAUAGACUUGAGCAGAGUCGCUACAUGAAGAGCUGAUGCUGAAUCCAGACCUGAAGUUGGUUCAUCGAUGAAAACAACAGCAGGGUCGUGGACUAAAUCAACUCCAAUCGAAACUCUACGCCUUUCACCACCAGAAAUGCCCCAGUCUGAUCCCUCACCUAUCCUUGAAUCCGAAACAUGUUCGAGUCCGAGCUCCUUCAGUAGCCUUCUCACCCUACUAGCGGCCUCUUUUCGCCCUCCUGGUAGCCUUAAAAGUGCACUGUACAAUAGUGUUUCUUUAACUGUAAGCAAUGGAAAUAGAGAAUCAUCUUGAGUGACAAACCCGGAUAAUCUCCGGAAAUGUUUGGCAUUCAUUGGCUGGCUAUUUACCAGCACUUGACCAGACACUUUACAUGAAGGUAUCUUUCCAGCAAGGAUCUCUAGUAACGUGGUCUUCCCUGCUCCACUAGGACCAGCAAUCGCAGUAAUCUCGCCAGGACUAGCUGCACAGUUUACAUCCCUCAGAAUGAAUUUAGGAGCUCUUCUUGGGGUCCCUCCACAGUAAAUAAAAUCAAGCUCGUCAAGUUUGCUGCAUAACUUGUAGGACAGAUUUUUGGUUUCUAGUCUGUAUGAGGUUUUCUGGCCACCAGAAACCGGUGCCUUCACUGGCAAUUCCAUUGAGAGGAUGGAGGUCUAAGGAGAGUUGAAGCGGAAGAAGAUCAAAAUAAGAAAUGCAAGAUGUGAGGAGUAAAGACAGGAGAAGGAGAUGAGCUAACACACCAAACUGGGUGCUAGACACCAAGUUGAGCUUGCAAAAACAAGAGUAAAAAUGGCAUGCAUUGGCUUAGGCAGUUUACGCGUUGGGCUUGACUUGGUGGUGCUUUCAAUAUUGGUUCGGGGAAGCGAGGAUCUGGUAGGGGUUUGGAGAGUUGCAAGAAAACACGAAGAAAGAAAGGAAGGGAUGGUGGUGAAGUAUUUCAGGUGAGCUGAUUGUUGACUGUGUAAUGUUGGUGCUGGUGGCCUUACAAUCUUUCCCACCCUAACCACCGGCUCAAUAGUAGAUUUGACGUAGAAUAAUAAAAAUGGCCUUAAAUAUCUAAUCCAUGCUAGCUAGCUAGGAUGCUAAAAUGGUCAAAUUGGGACUUGUGUCCUCACUCGCAGGGAGAUGACUUUUAAUUAUGCAGGAUUUGUACAUUCGGUAUUGCGGUUACGGUUGCGGUUGCUGUUUGAAAAAAAUUAUUUUAUAAAAGAUAUUUUUAGUUAAGGUUGGUUUGAAAAAAUAUAUGUUUGGUUGAAACUGAAGUUGAGUAACAAGUAGUUUAAUGUAUUUGGUUAAAAAAAUACUUUUCAAAUUGAAGUUAUAUAUAUAUAUAUAUAUAUAUAUAUAUAUAUAUAUAUAUAUAUUUUGAUGGUUUUUAAUUUAAAUAUUGUAGAUUUAACUACCAUUAUUAUAUUAUUAAAUAAAUAAUAUUUUAUAUCAAAUACUUUUUAUUAUUCCAUUAAAUUAUCUACAAUUUCAUCACGUAUGAAAUUCAUCUGAUAAGAACUAUAAUUUUCAUGGUUUUUUGAGCGUGCAACAAAAUCAGGUAAAAUAUCAACAGAAACAGAAUUGGAAUUGCGAUCAAAUUCCACAAAUGUUACAUCAUCAUGCGAUGUUCUUCUAAUUUAUGUAGUGUUAUUAAAUAAUAUUAAAUAUUAUUUUUUUUUAGUAAAACACAAUUUAAAAAAAAUUAAAUUUUUUUUACCAGGUCGGACGCGGUACAAUAAAUUUUACUCGCAUGAAUAGUGCAAAACAAUUCACCUUGCACUAUUCACGUGAACAGUGCCAGGUGAAUGCUUCUCGCGGGUGAAUUAUAAUUCACCUGGCAAGGGCAUUGUUAUGAACAGUGCCCAUGUGAAUUACAAGAGAAGCAGCCGGAGAGAAGCAGCUCCCAGCUGCUUGUGCAAAACGCCGAUUUGAUGCCAAAAAUUAUGGGACCCACCAAAUAAUAAACUGCUGUUUACAUGUUACCAAACGUCUAAUUUACACGGUUUGCUUUAAAAGUAAAAGCUACCGCGUAAACAAACGUCCUCUUGGAAUGGCUAACUUGGGAUUAAUGUAGUUCACGCAAGACUCAAAUUAGUGAUGGAUUUGCAAUAGCAAGAAUCUCUAAAAGGAUGUUUAGGAAUAUAAUAAAAAUUAUUUUUAAAAAUAUUUAUUAUUUAAAAAUAAAUUUAAAUAUAUUUUUUUAUUUUUUUAUUUUUUUUUAAUAUUAUCAUAUCAAAAUACGAGUUAGCAGCCAAUCAAUCAAAGUAAUAGAAGAUGGCCUGAGCUUGGAAGGUUUUAAAUCAUUUGAGGAACAUGCUAACUGCUGCAUGGUUGGAGUCCAAUCUGAGGAAAUAGCCCACAUCUUUAGAAGGCUGGGCUUCCUUCUUCUAUUGUAUAACAUCCGUGGCCCAUUCCAAAACCUAUUUUACUAAUAUUAUAUAUUUACAAUAAUUCAAAAUAGCUAAAUAAGUUUGCCAUACUCCCUUUUAUUAUAAAUAAUUUAUUAUUUUAAAAAUAUCAGAAUUCAUUUUUUGUAUUACUUGGAAAUGAGAAAUUUUAUGUUUCUCGGAAAAUGAGAGAGAUGACCAUUAUAAAAUUUAUUUUACUGAUAGUAUUUUAUUAGUUAUUUUUUUAUCCAUAUUUUUUUAAAAUAAAACUAGGAAAGAUAAAUUCUAAGUUAAGAUAUUUUUAUAAUUUUUUGUGCCUCAUAGAUUUUAUUUUUUAUUUAUUUUUGUGUCGGUUUUUUUAAAAUGAAUUUAGAAAUUAAUUAAUAAAAUUAUCACAUUUACUUUUAAAUUUUUGGGAAUUUAUUACUCAGAAACAUAAAUCAUUUAAAAAAAAUACACUUUUUCAUAAAUCAGAACAAUGAAAUUCACCUUAGGGUCAUAAUAAAAUUUUAAUAAAAUUAAAACUCAUAGACUAGUAGAUAAAAUUAAAAUUAAACAAAAGAGAGAGAGAGAAGAAGAUGUUUUAAUUUUGACAUGACCAAAAUGCCAUUUCGAUAAACUUGAAGGACAUUUCUCUCUCUCCCUCCAUAAAACCACACCUAAACCCCACUCUAUUAGGGUUUCUCCAAUCCAGAAAAUGGCGACUUCACUCUUCACUCGCUCUCUCUUCCUCCAAAAACCCACCUCACAAACCCUAAUUUCCUCCCUCCUCUCUCGCGCCUUCACUUCCCACUCCUCCACCUCCACCGCCUGUUCCUCCUCUCUCCUCCGCCGAUUCCUCCGUCCUCUCUCCUCUGCAACCACCAUCAAUCGCUCCGUCUCUCGGAUUUCAAUCAGGUCGUUUUCUUCCAGUCAGAAAUCGUCUUCCCUCAACGACCCAAGCCCUAACUGGUCUAAUAGACCUCCAAAAGAGACUAUUUUGCUUGAUGGCUGUGAUUUCGAGCAUUGGCUCGUCGUUAUGGAAAAGCCUGAGGGAGACCCCACUCGUGACGAGAUCAUCGAUUCUUAUAUUAAAACUCUUGCUCAAGUUGUUGGCAGGUAAUUUAUUAAAGUUUAAACCUUUAAUUUAUUUCUCAUUUAAUUUAAUUAUUUAUUUCUCUUUUGAUUUUAUUUUAUUUAAGAUUGGUUUUUCUUUUGUUAUUUGAAAUGUUGGUAUUCGUUUUAGCAAUCACUGGUUUUUCUAUUGAUUUACUUUUAGUCUAUUUCUAUUGAAGUUAAUUGGUUUAGUCAUUUUCUAGUGUAUUUGUGUUUUGUAUUUGGUUACUUAUUAUUGAGGGGUUGUGCGCGUGCGUGUUCGUGAUUUUUUUUUUGGGUUUCUUUGUGAUUAUUUAUAGUGCUAAAUUUUUUUAUUUGGUACGAGUGUUUGAGGUUUCUGAUUGUGUACCUCACCAAUUUCUGGAGGGGUUUGAGUGCAUUUUAAUAAUACUCCUUUAAGGAUCAAGAAGCUUCAUUGCUUAAUUGUUACUGUAUCUGACUUUGAUGAGAAUUGUGUUUUAUAGUUUAACAUUUCAAUAUUGGGUUUUUGUGGUUUCUUUUUUAUUCUCCGAGAUGCUUUUAAUUUUGGAAUUUUAUAUUUUGCAUGCCUUCUUUUUUUAAGUGCGAGGAUCGCUGUAUAAAAACCUCUGAUCUUACCAGAGUAAUCUGGAAAGAAAUGAGUUUUUGUGAUGUGUGAAGUCUUGUUAAUAUAAUUAUUGUGGCUGUAUGGCAGUGAGGAAGAAGCAAGGAGGAAGAUCUAUUCAGUUUCUACUCGAUGCUACUAUGCCUUUGGAGCUCUGGUGCCUGAAGAGGUUUCUUACAAGAUUAAAGGUAUAUCUGCUUUUAAGAAGGGGCAAAUGCAAAGGGGGCUGGGAAUGACCCUGACCUUCCCAAGGAUGAAAACUGAUCCCCUUACCCUUAAAUAAUAUCAUGCAUUUGGUCCAUUUUAACCCAAAAAACAACUUUCAGAUUGAUACUUAAAAUAUGUUUUCUUAACCUAGAUGCAUCCUUCCUACAAUGUAAAACUACCUCCCUUCACUUAAAAAGAUGACUAUCGGUCCCUUUUCUUCAAGAACUGAUUAAAAUAGUUACCAAAAAUGGAAAAUUUUGCUCACUUUUAUUUUUCCUAAGAAAGCUUUUCUUGAAACAUGUUCAAGUUGUUUUAGUGGAAAAAAAAUUGGUUGCUGCUUUGAAGUGAUUGGUUUAUGAUGUUAUUUGUUUUUAAAAAGUUUGAAUGUGAUGGAUGUGUUCUGUUGGUCACUUUUCCAGAAUUGAAAAAUGUCCGCUGGGUUCUUCCCGAUUCAUACCUGGAUGUGAAGAACAAAGAUUAUGGAGGUAAGGAGCCUUUUUCUUUUGUACCUCUGUAUGUUAUACAAAUUUAUAUUGUUGUAAAUGCAUGUUUUUCUGCUUUGAGUAAUUGAAAGUUCUGUGUGCAUCUUGUUUUUAGUUUUUUUCUAUCUUUAAGGAAACUUCUGGAUCAAAUGUGAUGUGCACCAAGAAAUCAUGCUGAAUAUCUUGUCUCAUUCUAUGAUAGUUGAAGCUCGUUCUUUUCAAGUUGGAUGCAAUUGUAACACUUCUAGAUCUUGACCAGAUGCAGAGUGUACAAGAAUUUUUUGUAAAUUUACUAGGGUUUUGUCGGUAAUAUUUUCCAGGAUUAGCUUUGCUAUGUAGUUAUCAUGUUUGAGUGGCAGGUCUUUUUUUUAGGAAAAAAAUAAACGGGUAAAAAAAUUGCAGAACUCCAUCAGGAUUGUAUCUUGCCAAAUAGUCUCUGAUGCAUUGCCAAUCAACUGCAUUUGCUUGUUAAAAAUAGCUUCACAACCUUCAUUUUUAAACAUAAUUCCACACAGAAAGCUGCAUUUUGUCUUUUCUUAGUAAGGGGAUUAGGGAUACAGAUUACGGUGCCCUAAUUAUGUUCUUGUACUGCUAGGCUUUUGUUUGAUUUCCACUGAGUCACACUAGGAAUGGGUUUUUUCUUUUCUUUGAAACUGUGGUUAUGAAAAUAAGUUCUAAUGCCUCCUUUUAAUCAUAGGUCAUGGCUUUUACUAUUUAUUCUUUGCGAUAAAUUAAGUCAUGACACGAUGCUGUAUAUUAUUGUUGUUUGAUGAUAUUUUUCUAUUAGGCGAGCCAUUUAUUGAUGGGAAAGCUGUGCCCUAUGACCCAAAAUACCAUGAGGAAUGGAUUAGGAACAAUGCGAGGGCAAAUGAAAGAAAUAGGCGCAAUGAUCGACCUCGUAACGUCGACAGAUCAAGGAACUUUGACAGAAGAAUGGAAAACAUGCAGCCGCGAGGUGGAGCUCCACCUCCUCCUAUGGCUAAUCAGGCUAUGCGAAACCCUGCUCCCAACAUGGCUGGACAACCACAAAACAUGGGCAGACAAGGUGCACCACCGCAGCCACAAAACAACUACAGGGGACCAGGUGGACCGCCACCUAACAACUAUAAUAUGGGUGGACCAGGUGGACCGCCACCUAACAACUAUAAUGUGGGUGGACCAGGUGGACCGCCACCUAACAACUAUAUGGGUGGGCAGCAGAACAAUAUGAGUAGGGUGCCACAUAACAUGCCCAUGCAAAACUACAUUCCUCCACAGAACAACAUGCCCCCGCAGAACAAUAUGCCCCCUCAAAACUACACCCCCCAACAACACAACUACAUUCCUCCGCAGAACAACAUGCCUCCACAUAACAACACAGGAGGAUGGUCCAAUGACAUGCCUGGAAACAUGCAACACAACAUCCAGAAUGAGCCUGCCAAUGGAGGCUACCAAGGUGGACCAUCAAACUACCAGAACAAAUACCCUCCAAGCCAGGAUGCUGUGUAGAUAUGCAAGAUAUUUCAAAUGUCUAGGGCUUGUUCAAGUUUUCGAUGAUGUUAGACCCUGUAGCAAUUUUAAGGAUAGGAUUCAGUACCUGGUCUAUCUGUUGGAAGUUGAAACCUGCCCACAGUUAUGAAGGUAAUGCUUUAAAAAAGGAUAGAAUCGUUUUUGCCUACCCUGUGUUUUGCUGCUGUUAGCUUGUGUCAUAUUGCCUUUCAUGAUGCUAUUUCAGUCCUGGUGUAAUGCCAGGUUUGAUACCUUACAAGUUUAAGGUAUAAGUCUGCCCUGAUAGCUCAUAGCUCGUUGUUUUGUGGCAGUUAAUUUUCUCAUUCAAAUUUCUGUUGAGCAUAUCUCUUCCGUCUCCUCGAAUGUGGAAGGAAUAUAUGCUGGAUGCGUUUGAAAAUGCAAGAAAUUCUGGGCAGAUGAGAAUGUGGUCUUGUGAGCCCAAAGAGGGGUGCGGGACAGCAGCAGGGGGUAAUCUCUGCUGAUGUCGACGCAUUCCUUGUCAUUUGUCCACAAGAUUGAGCUUGCCUUUAAGCACUAAUCUCCACAACUAGAUUUUCUUUUCUUUGGAUGAACAGAAUUUGGUUGUUUUGACAAGCAGCGUGAAUGUGAUAAUAUCCUAUAGAAAUCAGGAACGCUGAAAUGGACAUUCUUGAAAAUUAACUUCUGACAUUGAUAAAUAGAACAGUUAAUGUGCUCGUCAAUCUUACGGUCCAGGGAUCCAGCCCUUACCCAUGUUUCGCCUGGGGGUUGCAUCUUAGAAAAUCGAUAAUUCAUCUCUUGCCAUGCUCUGCCAAAAUUGAUUCUUAAAAUAUUUUCCCUUUUUCAUGGGUUAUGAACUUCGUUUCCACCAGAAUUUGAAACGCAUAACAGCGCAAGUUGCCCAACUGAGCUCUUGCCUUGAAGGAUAUGGAAUUCAACUAGCUUAUUAUAUGUCAAAAUUAGCAAAUAAAUAGAUUCGGACAAAAUGCGGCUUCUAGGGAAGAGGGAAAAAAAAAAAAGAAGAAGAAAGAAAGAUAAAUAUAGCUAAAAAUAUUACAGUGGGACAUGAAAGAGAUGUUGGGUUUCUCAAAACUGUAAAUUAAUUAUUUUUUUUGGGUUUCAAAUAUUUUAUUAAAUAGAUAUAGAGUUGCUUAGGAUUUAUACAGUUUAUUUAUUAAAUAAAUAAAGUUUAAUAAAUAAAUUACUCUCAAAACUCUAUUUAUUUAUUAAAUAAAUAGAGUUUCAAAUAUUUUAUUAAAUAGAAAUGAACUUGUAUUUCUGUGCUGCUUCAUGGUCUGUGUACUAUGCAUUACCCUUGUCAAUUUUGUUUAAAAUGUAGCUCAAAAUCUAAUUUUUGUUCUGGGUCUCCAUUGUAUCUGUUUGCAGAACAAAGCUGCAGAACCGUGUUAGUUUGGACACCUAAAGAGAGAGACUGAGGUAAGUUCCUGCCUUAUCUCCUUCUUCAUUUUCAUUUUUUUAGAUGAAAAAUUGCAUGUCUGUGCAGCUGCAUGAUCAAUUACUGUGUGUUCUGCAAUUGUUGAAUUGAUCUACAAAUUUCAUUGUUGUUGCUGUUUGUCUUUUGUUUACUGUGCCUUUGUAUCAAUUACUGUGUGUUCUGCAAUUGUUGAAUUGAUCUACAAAUUUCAUUGUUGUUGCUGUUUGUCUUUUGUUUACUGUGCCUUUGUCAAUUGUUUUGAAUUUAGCAAAUUUCAUUGCUUCUCUGUACUGCUUUUCAUGACCCGUACUGUGUGUUCUUAACUUUUUUUACUUGAGCUAAACCUGCAUUUAUGUGCUUCUUCAUGGUCUAGCAUGUUAACUGUGCACAUUGAUGUUGUUUCUGCUUGAGCAACCGUGGAAUUCUUUACUGUGCGUGUGUUUAUAGUAAUUGUAAUGAGUGACCUGUUAGCAUGUCAUGUAGGAUUACUUUGAUUUCUACUUUUGAAGUCAAAAUCAGAACUUUGAGUUUGCAUUUGUAUGUUUGUAUGCUACGAAAGAAAGCUGUGUUACUUUGAAUGUAGAAAUAAAUUCUUGACUUUUUAUUUUUUUCCCCUUUGUUUUUAGCAUUCAAACAGCAUGAUGACAAUGAUGUUUUGCUUGAUAAUUCAAAUAUUAUAUCAUGGCUGAAACUGAGUUUUCUGAACAGUUGAAAAUUAAUGGGUUUCAAUUAGUUUUCAUUACAAAUUAACGGGAACAUUCUCAUUCAAAUAAAUUCAUGGUCAAUGUUUGUUGCUAACCACACAGCUUUUGUAAAUGCUGAAAAUUGAGUGUUUUAUUAUUGGUUGAGUCCACGGUUUAUAUAUGUGCCACAAUGUAAUUGAUAUCAUUGAUUGAUUUUAAACUUUUGUUAAAUGUGUUAAAAGAUAUCAUGGAAGGUCUUGAAUCUUUCGAUAAGGCUGCUUAGACAAAGGAAAUGUUGCAUAUAUUUUGUGAUAUAUGCAUUAAGGCAAUUGAUAUGGGAAUGAGACCUAAUACUUAUUUCGAUAAAAUGGGGUGGAAAUUUCUUAUAACAUCAUUCAAAGAACAAACUGGCCAUGCAUUCACUAAAACACAAUUGAAAAACAAAUGGGAUGGAUGCGAAAAGGAUUGGAGGAUAUUGAAUAAGCUGGUUUCUGAAACUGGUGUUGGCUGAAUUAGGCACAAUUUUAUCUAGCGAUGAGUGGUGGAAACAAAAAAUUCAGGUACAUUCCUUGUCAUCCUAACAAUUUCUUUUAUUGUUGUCAAAUUCCAACAUCGAAAUUUUACUAGUCUUGAUCCUUCAAUACUUGAUUUUAUUUAAAUACAAGAAAUAAGAGGAGCCAAAAAAUUCAGACAUGUCGGUAUUGAGCUGUCUUUGAAGAAUAAAUUUGACCGAAUGUAUUCCAACAUUGUCACAACUAGAGCGUUUGCAUGGGCUCCUUCAUCAGGACUACCUGCUGGCAGUGAUGUCGAUCCUGGUACAAGCAAUGCCGACAUUGAUCGUGAUGGUUUGGAAGAAGGAAGCGGUGAUUCAGAGGAAGAUGUGAUUCCAGAUUUUCAGAUUGACAUGGCUCGAAUGGUUGGAGGGAUAAAUAUGUCUAGCAGCAGCAACACAAAAAGCGGUGUCAAAAGAAAAGGACGAGAUCCUUAGAGGUGCGAGGUAGAAAGAAGAAAACAUCUGGAAUUGGUGUCCAGCUGCUGUCAAGGUGCAAUCAACUACUUGAGAGUAUGUCGACUAAGAGUGAUUCCACGUCUGUUAAUAUGGAUCACGAAGGUUGUAGUAUUCGCAAGGUGAUGGUUGAGUUGCACUCAAUUCCUAGAGUUUCAAUUGAAGAUGAGUUCCAUGACUUUGUUACAGAGUAUUUGAGUUUAAGAAGGAAAAGAGAAAUGUGGGCUAGUAUGGGUGAUAAGGAGCAGAAGUUAAGAUGGUUGCAACGAAUGUAUGCACGCACUAAACGUGCUUAGCUGACAUGGUAUUAUUUUAUUUUCUUAACUGUUAAUCAAUUAACUAUGUUCACUUGCUUAAUGUAUUUAUACAAGUUUAUUUUAUUGUUGUAGAAUAAUGGGAUGCUGGUUUUAAAAAAGAGUAUUUUCCAAUUGCCGAAGUUUAUCCGAGUCAUUGUAUUCUUUCACAUUUCGUGUUGAGAUGUAUGGGCAUUUCCAUUUGCGGUAAUUUGUUUACUGUUGUAUUUAUAUUAAACUGCUUUCGGGAGUUAAUAUACUUGUAUGAGAAUAUUGUUGGUUUUUAAUGUUGUAUUUUAUCAAUGAAUUAAAACUGUCACUUCGGUUUUUAUUAAUGUUAAAUGGUUGACCCUUGGAUGGAAUUGGUUGGUAAUUUUCCUUCAUUGUGUUGUUCCCUGAAGGUCUUGAAUCUUGAGCGUUACUGUUAAAAUGCUUGUUUUAUUGUAAUAUACCAUGUGCAACCUUGUUUGUUUUCUUUUCUGUCGUGAGGUGAUGAGAGCUGCUGCCUUGUGUGUCCAGCUGUAAUUGUAUAAUAUACCAUGUGCAGCUAUUGUGUGAAUAUUGGUUUGUUUUCUUUUCUGUAGUAAGGUGAUAGGAGCUGCAGCCUUGUUUGUGAAGUUGUAUUCAUUGAUAUACCAUGUGCAGCUACUGUGUGAAUAUUGGUUUGUUUUCUUUUUCUGCCGUGAGGUGAUGGGAGCUGCAACCUUGUUUGUCAAGCUGGAAUUCAUUGAUAUACCAUGUGCAGCGACUGUGUGCUUGUGAGGUGUGAAACCUGCAUUUGUUUUCUUUUCUGCUGUGAGAAUUAAUGGAAGCUGCUGCCUUGUUUGUUAAUGCUGUUAAUGCUAUUCAUUGCUGUUAAAAUGAUUGUUUCAGCUACUGUGUGCAAGUGAGUUGUGAAUAUUGUUUCAGCUAUUGUGUGCUUGGGAGCCAGUGUAUGAAAUACAUGUAUGUGCUACUGUAACUGCUGUUUGAGUUGCUGGAUUUGUCACCGAUUUAAUUGGAAUACAUGCUCUUUUUGGUGCAGUUGUUGUUGGAGUUCAUAUAUAUAAAUUGUGUUUAUUUUGUGAGGUGUCAAUUGAAUUUCAAUUACUGUUGUUUUUUAAAUGAUUUCGGUACAUGUUUUUAGGUGUGCACUGUCAUGGUCUGUCAUGGUGAUAAGUAAAGAAAAAAAAUUGGGCCAAUGAAUCUUGAAUAAUAGAAUGAGAACACAAAUAAAAAAAUACAUGUCAGAAUAUUGUCCAUGUAUGAGCUGUAAAAUUAACAUUAUCUGUUACUUUUACAGUCUAUACAUGUGAUAAUGUACUUAUGUUGAAAGCUGAAUAACUUGUAAAAGAGACGUAAACAACAUUGGGUUUUUUUCUAUAUAAAGAGGAAUGUUUGUAGGCCAACUUUCAAAGAACUAUUUUACUUUAUAACAAACCUCUCAAACCUCAACUGCAUUUUAUACAAGCAAGUGGAACACUUUGUUUUUGUUGGCUUUACAGGUAUGAAAAAACUUAUGUCGCACCAACUUUUUGAUAGUUCUUUUUUAUUGAAUGAUAUUUAAUUAUUUAAAUAUUUUUAUUAACAACAUAUAAUUUUUUUUUGUUUACAUGUAAUUGAAGUUAUGGAUGAUUCACGGUUUAAUGACAUAUUUAAUGGGGAUUUCGAUGGCAAUUAUGAUAAUGUAAUGAACCGCAUUGUAGACCAUAUUAAUUAUCCUAGUUGUGAAGGCAGUGGUGCCUCAAUUGCUGGUGCUGGAGAUGACGGUGAUGGAAACGACGCUGACAAUAGUAAUGAUGAUGAUGAUGAUGAUGACGAUGACGAUGGUGACGAUGACGAUGAAUUUAUUUUAAGGAUGCAUUUUGAUAUGAAAAAAUUAAUUAUAUGCACAGCUGGAGCUAUAAACAUGUAUUAUAUUAAUUAUAUGUAUAAAGAACCAUGUAUGGUUUCGUAUAACACAAGGAUGCGUUGGUUGACAGAGGUUUUAAGAGGUAAUUGGAAACGAAGUGUUAAUAUGUUCAGGAUGGACGCAACCACUUUGUUGAGUAUGUGCACUGAAUUAGAAACGCACCAGGCUUAAAACCAUCAAGAAGAAUGAGCGUUAUUAAAAAGGUGGCAAUGUUUCUAUUUACAAUAGCAGUUGGGGCGUCAAAUAGACAAAUGCAGGAAAGAUUUCAGCAUUCAGGUAAAACUAUUAGUAGAUGUUUUAAAGAAGUGCUUAAAUCAUUAUGUUUGUUUGCUGUGGAAGUCAUAAAAUCAGUACAUCCACAAUUUACGAGCACACAAAGAGAAAUUGCCAUGAAUCCAAGAUUUAUGCCACAUUUCAAGGUAAGAUGAAUUUUUGUUUAAUUAAGUAGUUUAAUUAAGUUUAAUUAAGUUGUUCAAAUGAGUAUGAAAUAUGUUAUAAAUGUUUAUGACUACUUAAUGUUUUUGUGGCCUGUAGAAUUAUGUCAGUGCAAUUGAUGGAACACAUGUUCGUGCCUGCAUACCAUUUGAAAAUCAAAUUCCAUUUAUUGGAAGAAAAGGUGUAUCAACACAAAAUGUCAUGGCCGCUUGUAGUUUCAACAAGCAAUUCAUGUUCGUGUGGGCAGGAUGGGAAGACAAUGCACACGAUACGCGUAUUUUUCUUGAGGCUAUUGACAAUAGUAAUCUCAAAUUUCCAAAAUCUCCAGAAGGUUGUGAUUUUGACUAAAUUGAAGAUUUGGUAAUUGAAGGAAUAUAAUUUUUUUUUAAAGUUUUGUUUAAAAUUACCAUGUUGUUAUUAUUUGCAGGAAAAUACUAUUUGGUUGAUGCUGGAUAUCCAAAUGAAUAUGGGUAUUUAGGUCCCUGCAAAGGUGAGAGGUAUCACUUCCAAGAAUUUAGGCGUCGUGGACAACCAAGUGGUCGGAAAGAAGUGUUAAUCAUGCACACUCAUCACUAUGUAACAUGAUCGAACGUUCUUUUAGGGUAUGGAAACAGAGGUGGAAAAUUUUGCAAAACAUGCCUGCUUAUCCAUACAAAAUACAAGUUGAGAUUGUAGUUGCAUCAAUGACACUACAUAACUAUAUUAGAAGGAGAUCGCAAGAUGAUGCGGUUUUUUCUGAGUAUGAUCGCAAUCCCAAUUUAAUUCCAGAUGACUUUUUACCUAAUAUUGUUCAUUGCUCGGCCGUUCAAGGAUCACAGAGGCCUUCACGUAUGGAUUUUGUACGCGAUAGAAUUGCAAAUAGUUUGAUGGAACAAUAAAGGAGUACAUUAAUGUAUAAGGAUUUUUCAUUUCGUUAUGUAAUCAUAAUUACAAAACACCUAUGUUUUGUAAUUAUAUAUAUGUGUAUACACAUGUCAUUUUAAGUAAUUCUAAAAUCAAAUCUAAAACACAAAGCAUAUUAACCAAACACAAGAAACUAUUUUUUUUACCACAAUUUCAACCACAAUUUUAACCAAACAUAAAACUGCUUUUUUUUCCACCACAAUUUUAACCGUAGUUUUAACCAAACACAAGAAACUGUUUUUUUUUAAACCACAACUUCAACCACAGUUUUUACCAAACACCAAUUUUUUUUGAAAUCAACCUCACAAAAAGUAUUUUGUAUUAAACUGUUUUUUUCAAACCACAACCACAAAAGCUACCACAAUACUAAACACGCUCUAGUCUAAGGAUUACUUACACAAUCGUCACGUGAGCUUUUUCAUAGACAAAUGUGAUAUUUCAAUAUGGAAUUCUCAUGCUAAUCAAUUCAAUAUACAUAUCAUUUGAUAAGCACCUACAUAUUAGUUUUAGAUAUCUCUCAUAUCUCAGCUUACGAGAACAACUCUCCUUUCAUAAGAAAAAAAACAUAAUAUGUAUUAAUCUCAAUAGCUGUAAUUAAUAUCAAACCUUAAUAAAACAUUGACUAGGAACAUUUUAAAAAUAAUACUUUGAUGCAAUAAAAAUUCUAUAAUUAUAACAAUUUUAUAAUUUUAUUUGUAAAAUAUUUUUAUCCCAUAAACUUUAAUUUUACUCUAUAUUCAUUAAUUAAAUAUUUAAUCAAUAUUAAAAAUAAAUAAACUUUUAUUAAUAGAUUUACAUGUUACAGUAGAAAAAAAUCGGAGUGCUAGUGUCAAUUCCAGUAGUUAUCCUUUAUAGAAAAGGCCCGGAUUUCAUCCCUUCCCAGACAGCAUCUGUGCAGGGGACGACUGCUCAAGUGUCAGCAACAACAGCAGGUGGAUGGAAGUCAUAAUAGGAAAAAAUGCAACUUGAGUUUCAGUUGCUUCACAGGAUGCAACUCUUUGCUCACUGUAUUCAUCUCAGCAAACGAGUGGAAAAGAUGGUGCUGCCAAAGCUUUCCUAGUAUUGGAUUCAGUUUUUUUAUUUUUGGCAGCUUGGAUCUGAUCCGCAAGUGAAGUUUCUCUUGGAACCUUUUCUCUCUUACUAAUCUCUGCAUUCAGUUUCUCCCAAGCUCGGCUAAGGGAAGGCGAUGAUGCCCCUUGACUAAUCAUCUGAUCAUCAGUGGAUUUCUUUUUUCGAAUCUAUAGAGACAACAUAUAGCCCUUGUAAAGACAAACAUAUACAAAAAUAAUAAUUAAAAAAAAAACCAUCAAUGUGGAGCAACAUUUGAUGUAUAGGACCCACAAAGCGUGGUCUCAUCUUGGAAUUGCUUGUUUAAUGCAAAAGAUACCAAGAACAAAGAUAGUAGUUGGAUCAUAGGAGCAUAUCCAACAUCUACAUAUUAGGUUUUAACAAAAAGGAUUAUGAGUAACUAAACAGUGUACAUGAUAGACUGCUGUGUCAACGUCUUCCAUAGUGUGGCUCCAACAUGAUCGAUUAAAAAUUAAUUCUAAGUUCUAAAUAUAUGAUUCCUAAUCUAUGAAGUCAGUAAGACUCAAUUAUUCCUAAUUCAAUUCUUUGCAUCAAUGUGCACCCCAAAAUAUCAAAUUUCAUAUUCUUUUCCUCAAAUUGAUAGUGAGAUUUUUCAUGUUGCACUGUAGCCAGAAGGUUACCUUUGUUAAUCUCUUCUUAAGUGUCAACUUUCGGGCAACAGAUGACUCUUCUGUUUUUUUCUUUGAUUGUCUGUGUGCCUUCCUCUUUGUUUCUUCUCUUUCCAUUGCUUUCUCUUCCCGCUCUUUUCUCUUCUGAGCAACCCUUUCCAUCUUUUCUUCUUUUUCCUUUUUUUCCCUCUCAACUUUUCUCUUUGCAAUCUCCUCUCCCUUUGCCUUUUCCAUGGCACCCUGAAGCUGCUUGAGAGUUAUUUCUUUUUUUAUUUUUUCGUACCCAUCCCAGUCUAGCUCUUGUUGGUCAAUGCCUCCUUCCUUAGCUGCUAUUGCUAUUCUUUUAGUCCAUGACAGAAAAAAAUUCUCUCUCAGCCUUUUCCAUCUCAAACGUUUACCCCAGAGUUGUCUGAGCGAAGAACUUAUCUUAGCCCUGAUCGCUUCACUGCAAGGAAUUUGUUUGAAUUGUGAUUUUCAGUCUGAAAAACUUGUGUGGCUGCAGAGCCUAUAGAGAUUAUAGAAUACUCUCAGCAAAUAUUAAAACCCUGAAAUCCUUAUUCAUUGAGUCAGAGUCAAGAUUCCUCAUUCAAAAAAUCAUCUACUGAGUUAACUGAGCACAAACCAUAUCCAAAUUCAUUACUAUAAGCUUCAAUUGAGGUCAUUAUCCACGUAAUAUUUUAAGUGGAUAUCGAUGGAAAUGUGGCUAAUGUAGAACAUCAUGUAUUUGCAGUCCCAUUUUUUCACAUAUAACUUUCACAACAUUUGUUGAGUAUAUUUAUAAAGAUAUUGGAGAGCAUAAACUUUACUUAUGAGCACGGGGAUGCCCUGACAUCUUCUUCCUAACCUGAAAAUUGAGAGGAAAUGAAAUCAAGUUUUAGAGGAAAAACAAAAGUAAUAUAGAAAGUAGGACAAUUACUUGUCAAAAAGGAGAGAGAGGGGAGGUGUACUUGUUACUGUCUCAGACUCUAUGCGAAAUAAAUAAUAAUCAAGCAGGAAAAAUGAAUUCAAAGCAUUCAUCUGUUUGGUAAUGAAAAAAAAAAUGGUUUGUGGUAUGAGCUUUAUUUGCUAUUCCAAGAGAUGCAGCAUAUAUGAGUGAACAUACUCAUCAGUGAAGAUCUUAAAUUUGAGGAAAAAACUGUUUAGUACUAUAGUUAAACCAUGCAAUAUGAACCCUAACUAUUCCAAGAAUUCGCUUGCACAGAAGACAAGCUGUAAAAAAACUAACUAAUCCUUACAUGACUUCACCUGGGGGUUUGUCAAGGCUUCAAUUGUUCUUUGCUUUAUCAGUGCACGGGUCUCUACAAAAUAAAAGAAGUUAAAACUACAGGAUUAAUCAACUUAAUUAAGCCUUGGAGGGAAUUAUUUGAUAUACACUUACCUGCAGUAUGUUUUCUGCCUUUGUUCCAUGGAAUCCUCCCUUUGUUCCCAUGUUUUUUCUUUCUUUUUCUUCUCUUUUUGGGAAGGUCAUUGAUAAUUUCUGCAGAGUAUUGGCAUCCAUCCGGUUGAACCUCCUCACUCAUAGUCUGCUUCUCAGCUGGAUCAAGAGGAAUUUUUGACUGGUAAUGCUUGCUAGAACCUGUAGUCUCUCCGACAUCAUCACUGAUUUGCAAGGCUACAAAAUCAUCAAUUCUUGGGAAGGUACUAAUAGAAGCAUAUGCGGGACAUAUUUUCUUCCCGAUCGAUGUACAAUUGUUUGACUGUCGUACAUUUGGUUGAAAAUGUGUGUAUUCCAACACAUAACCCAGAGUUGGCCAUAAAAGAUUGUUUGGAACAUGGCUGCAUGUUAAAUGGGGAACAGACAAUCUCCUGAGAGAUGGUUGAAAGGAAAAAGAGUCACAUAUUUUAUAGAACUAUCUAUCCAGAUACUAUUGUCAGAUCCUAAGCAAAACCAUUCAUCCAUGUUGCAAACAUCAAUAAUUAUUAUGAUUGCAAGGUAUGCAGACAAGUUCAUGUUCGUUUAUUUUCUACAACCUCACCAAAAUGUCAAUCUGGUGAAAUCCUUCAAAGAAUUUUGUAAGAGAAUAGAACAAACUUGAAACAUCAUUUAAUUUGUAUUUAUAACAGGUGGCAUCUUAAGUUCUGGAGAUACAUGGAUAUCAAAAGAAGGGUAGCUAAAGAGGGUUCCAAUAGGUGGCCUCGUAUCAUGAUCAGCUCUACGAACAUUUUUUCCAUCUUGAGUAGUUUAAAUUGUUUCUCAAGUUCUACACAAGUCAAUGCAAUCAACUAAAAUCACCAAAUAUAACAAAGCUAAUUCAGAAUAGUCAAUCAAAAUCUACUAAUGUGAGCAAAUUUGGAGGGAAUUCCAAGUUCCAGCCCAUUUAUUGCACGCUCAAACUUCUUUCAUGUGAAAAAAGUUGAAUCAUGCUGAUGGAACCUCAUGAAACCAUAGCCUGUGCUUACAUCCAAAAUUGAAAAACAAUGACAGUGUCGGUUUUUUCUAGUUACAGCAAUGCAGCACACUAUCAAUGCUAACAAAAGCAUGCAUUUUCAUAGAAUAAAAUAAAAUAAAUUCCACUCAUCAUUCAAAGAACGGUCAAAACCGAUAUUGAAACCAAACCCACAAUGAAUUGAAGAUUCUAUUCACUUUUAUCAAUAAUUUUCAGGAAGC